UGAAAGGCCAAGGCAGGACACAGAGGAAGAGCCAGGAUGGCCAACAACAGUCUGCUUUCAUUAAGAACAGUAGAGCACCCAAACAGAGUCGGCUCUGGUGGGUCACAUUGUGUUGGGAGAAGGUUCAAAGACAUGUUAUUGAUAACAAUAAAAAGUUGUCUCUGUGCAGUGUUGAUAAAUGGAGGUAAAAGUCCUAGAGCCAGAGCAGGAAUGAGCUUUUUUCCCAGCCAUUCCCAGGAGUUCUAUAGUUGCCAUGGUGCCAAGUGGCAGCCUAGGCAGAGAGCUCAACGACCCAAUAGGAAGCUAUGUAUGUAGAGUUGGCAGUGUGCCAGGGGUUUCAUUGCUCAGGAGGAUACUUCUGAAGUAAGGACUGAGUGAGCUGUGCUUUUCGGGGAACAAACUUCACCACAGAGUCUCAAUACAGAGAAGACAGCAGAGAGGCUUGGAUGACAUGGAGCUGCCUGCCUGCCUGCCUGCCUGCCUGCCUGCCUGCCUGCCUGCCUGCCUGCCUGCCUGCCUGCCUGCCUGCCACCACCUCCGACCAUACCUCUGCUGACCAUCUACCUAUGAGCUUCCAGAUCCUCUCAUGACCGUGGCUGCCCAUCUGGAAGCUUCAAGAAGUACUCAGACAGACUUGAUCUAGCUGAUCUAGCUACUGUUGUAGCCUGUAUUUUCCUCAACAUUUAAACAUUUCGAUUUUAUGUGAACGUCUUAAUAAUCUAAAUGUGUUUAUUGUGUGUGUUACUGCAAUUCAGCUUUAAGCUGCCAUAGUACACAUGAAAGGAAAUUCAAAUAUACCAUUAUCAUCAUCAUUUCUGAGUCAAAUUGCAACCCCAAAUCUACCGCUCAGAUUAUUAUUUUUUUAAAUACAUUACUUAAAGAAUAUAAGCCAAGUGUGAAAUUAACUAUUCAAAACAGUACUGUAGUAAUGAGGAUUGUGCAGUAGGCUAUAGGCUCAAUACAUUAUCACCACAUAUUGUCUUUGCUUGAAUUGACCUGCCAAUGCCUUCUUGUUCUUCUCACACCAUUUCCAAAUGAUAUUUCAAAACUUGAGAUAGGACCUACACUAUAUGAUCACACUAGUCAUAGAUUGUUGUUUUACAUGUGAGGCACAACUGAGUGAGCAAACAUUUAAAUUAUUUUUGUAUUGUUUUACUGGGCUGAUGGUGCUGUAUCUGAUGGUCAGCCUCAGUGGAGGGAGGGAGAGAGCAGCAGAUGGUCUGACUCUCACCGUCUCUACACUCUCCCUUCCUCCGCUGAGACUGACCAAAGAGGGGACACUGUCUUCCAGCUGACGGCAAAACUCGAGUCGCACCGCAUUAUUUCUGCCUCAUGCACAAAUUGAUGCUUUUACUCCUAUGAGAAAGUGAACUAUUCCUGGAUAUUAAAGGGAUACUCCAGGAUACUGGAAUUGGAGCCCUUAUCUACUUCCCCAGAUUCAGAUGAACUCAUGGAUACCUCAUGGUUAUGUCUCUGUGUGCAGUUUGAAGGAUGUUGCUAACUAGCAUUAGCGCAAUCGCUAACUAGUGUUAACGCAAUGACGAUGGUAACUGCUAGCAUGCUAUUAGAUACCAUAGACUUCAAGUCAUUGCGCUAACGCUAGCUAACAUUGGCUCACAAAACUACCUCUCACUUAUUGCAUGCUGGAUGCAGCUACAUACAAAUGGUAUCCGUGAGUUUAUCUGACUCUGGGGAAGUUCAUAAAGACUUAAUUGUCAAAUCCAGAAGUAGCCCUUUUAAAAAGACACAAGCUGCUAAUAAUAACAACUCAAGCCUUUCAAUACACUUCACUACUCAUUCAUUGCAGCUGCAGUGCUGGUGGAAGAGUGAGUGGAAGUAGUUUUAUGGCAUAUAAAAGUGUUGAAUAAAGUUUUGUACAGUGCUG
rnacentral:lncRNA from 1 species